GUACUUUUAUCCGGUGUAUCUCGUGUUUGCGUGCCUGCGCGUGUGUACACUGUUUGUCUUUUUUACGUUGGCUUUAUAUAUCUAUCUAUAUAUCUUUGUGGCUGUGUUCCUCCUCGCUUGUUAUCCUCCCUCCCUUCUCUCUUGCUCCGUUCAUCUUUCCACACGCACGUCCACAUAACCACAUACUCCGUCUGCCCAACAACCCGUUCACCUCGCAGCCCCGUCUUCACUGCGUGGUCGAGACCAGCCGUGCUCGUUUAUGUGUGUGUACGUGUAUUGUUGCGCUCCUUCGACACCCCCUCUUCCUCUGCAGCGCUCCCUCUUUCGAACACUUCACUGUUCACUUCGCCUGUCGCCAUGUCGCACCUCAACCCUAACGCGACGGAGUGGAAACCAACGGGCAACAAUGCGCAUGGAAUGACAGAUCUGGCCCUGCCACCCACCACGGCGCAGCCCGAGGACCCUGCCGCAGCCUCCGCACCAGCGGGGAGUGCGGGAGAGCUGUCUCCCAUGGCAACACCGCCGGCCGCGUCGGCUGCUACAGCCGGUGCCAUUGCGAACACGCUGCCAUCUUACAUCCCCAGCUACAUGACCGGCGGCGACCCCGCCAUUGCGGAGCAGCUCGCGAACAUUGAUUGGGAUGCCGAGUUUAAGAAGCUGAUGGAGCUGACUGGGCAGAUGAUUGAUCGGCAGCUGAAUGGACAGAAUGGCGACGAGCGGCCAGCAGCCAGCAGUGGUGGCGCGAGUGCUGGCCAUGGCAGUGACGCCGCGAGGGCCCUCGGCGAUGCUAGGCUGUGCGGAUCGAACUCUGUAGGCGCCUCGCCUGCUGUCGCCGCCUCACCGAUUCCUCUGACAUAUGCUAACGCGGUGAAGAGCGCGACAGCGGCCGCGAGGAAGCCGACGACACUCGGGGUUGCGAGCACGGGCACCGCUGCCGCUGCCGCUGCCGCUGCUGCUACUGCUGCUAACAUGGCUGACAUGGACGACGACAGCGUCAGUAUGACGGCAACGUCCAAGGCGGGCACCGGCAAGCACCACUGGAAGAAGCUAACAAAGGCACAGCAGCGCCAUGAGCAGUCACAGCGCAACGCCUUUGAGGCCUUCGCGAACGCCCUGCUGCACAGCGUGUCCCCGUUCAUGGCGCCACUGCGAGCCAAGUGCAAGACAUCGCUGCCGCAUAUCAAAGUGGAUCAGCGCUUCGGCAAGAGCGGUCAUCCCGAGACGGCCAUCGCGCAGUUCCUCGUCGCCCCGCUGGUGACGAACUACCGCCCGCGUCACUUCCACGACGUCGCACCAGGUGAGCUCAUGGAGUUCCACUAUGACUUUGCGCUGGUGCUGCAGGCGAUCCCGUCUGCGCACGCGAUUCACAUUGGCUAUGGCCCCACCUGGAAGCGCUACGCCGUGCCUUACUGCUACCUGGCCUGUCGCGAGUAUCGAAAGGAGGUGCUCUCGCUGUGUCCAGAGGAGAUACCGAACUCACGCUCGGAAGCCAUCUACGAGGACGAUGUGGUGAAGGACAUCACGGAGCUGCUGCUGAAGCGUGGCGAGGGAUUGGAGAUGCUGGAGACGAUGUCGAUUGUGGAGGCGAUGCGGAAGCGAGUGGAUCUCUACCCACUCUACGACGCUUUCGCAACCGUCUUUCAAAGCUUGGAAAACUACCAAGUCGAAAUCACCGACAUACGAUCGGCGCCAUCACGCUUCCUCGUGAAGGCGUCGCGGCUGGCGGUGGAGGCGAUGCCGCAGCCAAUUGUGCUGGACGACGAGGUGCUGUGGGAUGAGCUGCCGGAGGUAUCGCGUGUGAUCGUGCAGGGCGGCGUGGCGGCAAGUGGUGGUGCCGGCAGCGAAGCAGAUGGCGGCGCAGCUCGGUUGGCAUCGCAGCAGAAAGCACUCAGCACACCUGCACCUGCGACUGGAGCUGCCUUUGUUAAGAGAGGCACCAGCUUGGCAGGCGCGCCGGCAGCCAGCGGCUCUGCCUCUUUGUGGCAGACGCUGACGCCGAUGAUAGUGUGCGUGGCGUGCGUGUCGGCGACACUAGCGGUGGUCCUGAUGAAAAAGCAGCCGUGAGGGAGUGAGAACCAAAGGACUGCUCAGCGGCCUCACUGGGGUGCAUGCAAAGGCAAAGGGAAAGAGAGAAAGGGGAGUGGAGGGUGUGCGCGAGGCCGUGUGUGCGUCGGUUUUGGGCGAGGGGGUGAGGAAGGAGAAAGGAGCGGGAGGGAAAUGGACGGCGCUGCACUGAAGAGCAUGAGGGGUGCCUCUCGCCUUUUUCUCUGCCUGCCCAUCGCGCUCGCGCAAGCUUCUUGGUCUCUCCACGCACCUCGUCUUCUUCCUUUGCCACCUACCCCUACAACCUCUUCCCUCAUCCCCUCCAGUGCGCGAGCGACUGGCCUCCCGUUUGUCUCUCCCUCCAUACCUCUGAAUUCGUUGCUGCAUCUCCUGCAAAGACAUCGGAUCUUUAUGACACGCGAAACGAAAAGAGUAGGUUGCUUGGGCGGUACUUGUGCCGCAUCUCUGUUGAUCCCCCGCUCCCCAUGCGCGUGAGUGCGCGUGCGGUGUGUGAGUAAUGAGGAUGUGGCGCGAGUGGUGGGAGCGGUGCAUUCUCUUCUUUGUAUGUGGUGCAUAAAAGCAUUGUUUUUCCAAAGACCACUUCCUCCCUCGCCCGAUGACGUAUAAUAUCUCGCAGUGCGUGGCAUCACAGGGUCCAAGUGCCCCCACACUCUGCGUCGGGGGAGGCCAGGUAGCUCCCCCUCCCCCGUCACCCCUCCCUCCAUCCCUGCCCAUGCCGAACCACUUCUGGUGGUGGCAGGGCCAGGUCGCUACGACGUUGGGGUGGGGGAGACAGAGCGAUGCACCGCCACUGAUGUCGGCGGUGAGGCCGUGGAUGGCACCGCGUUGGAGCCACCUGCGAAGCGAAUGGCGUGCGUGUGGUGUCUGGGUGAGAGGCCGUGCUCUCAGAUGGCUGGGCCGGCGCAUGGCUGCAGCGCGUGCGUCUACGGCUGCUCGGCACCGUGCGAUGGGUGCCGGUGGGGCACGUCUGCAGGGGGUAGAGCGCCGUUUGGGCUCAUGCUGUAUGACAGAGAGCGGCUACGUGGAAGAACGAAAAAAGCGGCGCACCACCAUCACCGUCUCGCCCUCCUCCCCCUCCCUUCGUCGCCCUCCACCAGAUGGGGUGCGUUGUGUGGAUGAGGUCUAUUUGUGUGCGUGGGUAAAAGGGGGGCGUGCAUUUGUGUUCUCUCUCUUGUCGCUCCCCUCUUGCCUUCUGCGUUGGAAACGUUGCCGCGGGCUUUUCUUUUUUGGGACUGCCCUCGAUCGUGUGCGCCCGUGCAUCACCACCGCAGUACCACACAACGCGUCUGCUGCUUCUUUUCUCUCGUUGUUGUCUUUAUUUCAACUCACAUGUCCCGGUCCCGCUUUCGAUAUCUCCGUCUCUGUGGAGGACGUCGGGCACGGCUGCCUCUCGGCAGCCGUGAUGAGGCCAGCGAGGCGGAGGUCGAAAGCGGCAACUGGAGAGCGAGCGGGAGCAGCACCGAUAACAUCGGCAAGGCGGGGUCAGUCGACAGAGAACACAAGGCACAAAGGCAACUCUCUACAAGAAUUUCAAAAGGUGAAGCAGGCGACGCGCGCAAUGAGUGAUGAGUUCGCAGCGAGCAACACCACGACGCACGACGGGGACGACGAA
rnacentral:misc_RNA from 1 species